rnacentral:rRNA from 1 species
UACGUAGGGUGCAAGCGUUGUCCGGAAUUACUGGGCGUAAAGGGCGCGCAGGCGGCCCUUGAAGUCAGGCGUGAAAGCCCCGGGCUCAACCUGGGAGGUGCGCUUGAUACUCGAGGGCUUGAGUGCGGGAGAGGAGAGUGGAAUUCCCAGUGUAGAGGUGAAAUUCGUAGAUAUUGGGAAGAACACCGGUGGCGAAGGCGGCCUGCUGGGCAGUAGCUGACACUGAGGCGCGACAGCGUGGGGAGCAAACAGG